rnacentral:rRNA from 1 species
UAGGGAAUCUUCGGCAAUGGACGAAAGUCUGACCGAGCAACGCCGCGCGAGUGAAGAAGGUUUUCGGAUCGUAAAACUCUGUUGUUAGAGAAGAACAAGGACGUUAGUAACUGAACGUCCCCUGACGGUAUCUAACCAGAAAGCCACGGCUAACUACGUGCCAGCAGCCGCGGUAAUACGUAGGUGGCAAGCGUUGUCCGGAUUUAUUGGGCGUAAAGCGAGCGCAGGCGGUUUCUUAAGUCUGAUGUGAAAGCCCCCGGCUCAACCGGGGAGGGUCAUUGGAAACUGGGAGACUUGAGUGCAGAAGAGGAGGGUGGAAUUCCAUGUGUAGCGGUGAAAUGCGUAGAUAUAUGGAGGAACACCAGUGGCGAAGGCGGCUCUCUGGUCUGUGACUGACGCUGAGGCUCGAAAGCGUGGGGAGCAAACAGG